GCCGGUUAUAGGACCAAGGUCCAAGUAUGCGGCAGCGGCAUAUGUGUAGGAUGGAUUUUGUUCGGUCAGGCGGGCGGCCGUGAAGCGGCGAGAGAAGGAUGCGGUGGUCGAAAGGGAGGCGUCCAGUUAGCGUUGACACGAUCCAGGCAACAAGGUAAGCAUAUAAGAACCAUACGAUUCACCAUUAUCAAUAUCUUGUCCAAGAUUCAUGCUUCAUGCGGGACGCGGAGGGAGUGGAGGAAGAGGUCAGAGGAGGUAGUCUGUUCGGCACGAAAAUCUCAGGAAGUGCGGGCAAGGAGAAUGGUCCCUGUGUGCAACACAGUGCUGUUUGUGUAUGCACAUAACAAGAAUGAAAUUAAGGGGAGCAGCUCUGGUGCGACGGGGAAGUUGGCAGCACAUACGCAUUUCAUUGAGCACAUCUUGAGCGUUUUAGAUUUCUUGAAUGUUUUAUAUUGUGAUCAGACCAAUAAGGUAUUCAACUGGCAUACAGUUUUCUCAUUUGGGCUUAAGUGA
rnacentral:lncRNA from 1 species